CCCAGCUUCCGGCACCUUUCGCCACUCCGGCACAAACCGACACAGCUUUGCGAUCUCGCCAGCAUGCAGAGUCUGAUGUCUUCCCUAUAGAUGAUUCCAGAGACUCUGUGAGGCUACUAUUGCAAGGUGAGACGCUUUGCGUUGAUUGGUGCUGCUGGACCACACUGGAGGUGCGAGUCCGCCGUGUAAUGGUUUAUGCCAUUACAAAGGAGCUGGCCUCUGUACUCAACUGGGCAGGGAAAAAAUACCAAGGACCAGACAAAGCAAAAAAGGGCAUUUAAAGAGACAGCGCUGUGCAGAUGCAUAUUUGAUGGCCUGGCGCAGCAGGUAGGGGCGAACUCUAUGUCUGAGUUGGUCUUUGCUCAAGCAGUCCAGAAAUGGCUCAGAUAUGCUCCAGAUCGUACGGGUGGCACGCAGGACGCACAUCAUCCAUCCCCAUCCCGGAGUAAAUAAACAUGUCUAUUGACCUUUUUUGUUUUUUUGUUUUUUUUCAAUAAAAAGCAACUGUGCGAAAGAGGUGGAAAAUCAACACCAUAGCUCAACAGUGUUUCAAUAUCAGAAUCUGACAUUGUUUCAAUGUCAACAGUGUUAGAAAAUAUAUAAUCAAUGUCAGGUUUCAACAUUGAUUCAACAUCAAAACCUGACGUUGUUUCAACAUUAAAAAUGGGUGCAAGAGUGACGUUGGGUCAACGUCAGAUCUCAACGUUGGUUCAAUGACAUUGCCUGAUAUUGACUCAACAUUGUUUCAAUGUUUCCUUGCUAUCUGGGCGGUCAAUUCCGCUGAGAGUAAAUCAAAUGUCCCGCUCUACUGUAGAAGACAAUACCUGGGGGGAUGUACCAAUGUGAGAGGGGUGCUGUGGAAUAGUCCAAGUGAUCGCUGCUUUAAUUUCCCGGUCAACUAUACAUAAAUUGCACGUAGACACGAUUUUUUAAAGCUGGUGAACUAGACCAAGUCAUUGAUAACAAAUGAACAAUAAAUCUACUUUCUCUGGUACUUUAUACCCGAUCAGUUGCAAUGCAAUUUAAUGCUCAACUACAAAUCGAUGGUUUUUGAUGGUGACCAGAGCCGAAUGAUCGUCAACUAUAAAUAGACGUUUUCUCGACGUUGUUGUUGUCACCUGGUCGACUAU